rnacentral:rRNA from 1 species
CCUACGGGUGGCAGCAGUGAGGAAUAUUGGUCAAUGGGCGGGAGCCUGAACCAGCCAAGCCGCGUGAGGGAAGACGGUACAGCGUAUCGUAAACCUCUUUUGUCAGGGAACAAAGGCGGGGACUAGUCCCCGGAUGAGGGUCCCUGAAGAAAAAGCCUCGGCUAACUCCGUGCCAGCAGCCGCGGUAAUACGGGGGAUGCGAGCGUUAUCCGGAUGUAUUGGGGUUAACGGGUGCGCAGGGGGCCUGUUAAGUCAGCGGGAAAAGCCAGGGGUGCACCCCAGGCGAGCCGUGGAAACUGGUGGUCUGGAGUUGGAGAGAAGGACGCGGAAUGCGCGGUGUAGGGGUGAAAUGCUUAGAGAUCGCGAAGAACCCAGAUUGCGAAGGCAGCGUACCGGAGCCACACUGACGCUGAUGCACGAAAGCGUGGGUAUCGAACAGGAUUAGAUACCCGAGUAGUC